rnacentral:rRNA from 1 species
UACGUAGGGUCCGAGCGUUGUCCGGAAUUAUUGGGCGUAAAGAGCUCGUAGGCGGCCUGUCGCGUCCGCUGUGAAAUCCCGGGGCUUAACCCCGGGCGUGCAGUGGAUACGGGCAGGCUAGAGUGUGGUAGGGGAGAUCGGAAUUCCUGGUGUAGCGGUGAAAUGCGCAGAUAUCAGGAGGAACACCGAUGGCGAAGGCACUUUACUGGGCUAUGACUAACACUCAGAGACGAAAGCUAGGGUAGCAAAUGGG